UACGUAGGGGGCGAGCGUUGUCCGGAGUUACUGGGCGUAAAGCGCUUGUAGGCGGUCCACCAAGUUUGGGGUGACAGUUGCCGACUUAAUCGGCAAAGUGCCUCAAAGACUGGCGGACUUGAGGGCCACAGAGGGACAUGGAACUCCAGGUGUAGUGGUGAAAUGCGUAGAUAUCUGGAAGAACACCAAAGGCGAAGGCAGUGUCCUGGGUGGUCGCUGACGCUGAGGCGCGAAAGCGUGGGGAGCAAACGGG
rnacentral:rRNA from 1 species